CUAUGGGUGGUGGUGCAUGGCCGUUCUUAGUUGGUGGAGUGAUUUGUCUGGUUAAUUCCGUUAACGAACGAGACCUUAGCCUGCUAACUAGUCGCGGCGAUCUCGAUCGUCGUCGGCUUCUUAGAGGGACUUUGUGGCACUAAACACAAGGAAGUUUGAGGCAAUAACAGGUCUGUGAUGCCCUUAGAUGUCCUGGGCCGCACGCGUGCUACACUGACGCCUACAGCGAGUACUUCCCAGCCCCGAGAGGUGGCUGGUAAUCAGCAAUAGGCGUCGUGAUGGGGAUAGAUCUUUGGAAUUAUGGAUCUUGAACGAGGAAUGCCUAGUAAGCGCAGGUCAUUAGCCUGCGUUGAUUAAGUCCCUGCCCUUUGUACACACCGCCCGUCGCUCCUACCGAUUUCGAGUGGUCCGGUGAAUCUUUCGGACUGCGCGCGGCUUCGUGCCGUGUCGCGGAAAGUCAGGUAAACCUUAUCACUAGAGAAGAGAAGUCGACACUUUUU
rnacentral:rRNA from 1 species